rnacentral:tRNA from 2 species
UCCCUUGUCGUCCAAUGGCAAGACACCAGAUUUUGGUUCUGGUAAUCGUGGUUCGAAUCCAUGCAAGGGAG